ACGGGAGGCAGCAGUGAGGAAUAUUGGUCAAUGGACGGAAGUCUGAACCAGCCAUGCCGCGUGAAGGAAGACGGCCCUAUGGGUUGUAAACUUCUUUUGUGGUGGAGCAAUAAGGCGUACGUGUACGUCGAUGAGAGUACAUCACGAAUAAGCAUCGGCUAACUCCGUGCCAGCAGCCGCGGUAAUACGGAGGAUGCAAGCGUUAUCCGGAUUUAUUGGGUUUAAAGGGUGCGUAGGCUGUGCAGCAAGUCAGAGGUGAAAGCCCGGUGCUCAACACCGGAACUGCCUUUGAUACUGUUGUGCUGGAAUACGGAUGCCGUGGGAGGAAUGAGUAGUGUAGCGGUGAAAUGCAUAGAUAUUACUCAGAACACCGAUUGCGAAGGCAUCUCACGAAUCCGUCAUUGACGCUGAGGCACGAAAGUGUGGGGAUCAAACAGGAUUAGAUACCCUGGUA
rnacentral:rRNA from 1 species